rnacentral:rRNA from 1 species
CACAUGCAAGUCGAACGAACCUUCGGGUUAGUGGCGGACGGGUGAGUAACGCGUGAGAAUCUGCCCUCAGGAGGGGGAUAACGGUUGGAAACGACCGCUAAUACCCCAUAUGCCUAUUGGUGAAACGAAUUUCGCCUGAGGAUGAGCUCGCGUCUGAUUAGCUAGUUGGUGUGGUAAUGGCUCACCAAGGCUUCGAUCAGUAGCUGGUCUGAGAGGAUGAUCAGCCACACUGGGACUGAGACACGGCCCAGACUCCUACGGGAGGCAGCAGUGGGGAAUUUUCCGCAAUGGGCGAAAGCCUGACGGAGCAACGCCGCGUGAGGGACGAAGGCCUCUGGGCUGUAAACCUCUUUUCUCAAGGAAGAAGAUAUGACGGUACUUGAGGAAUAAGCCACGGCUAAUUCCGUGCCAGCAGCCGCGGUAAUACGGGAGUGGCAAGCGUUAUCCGGAAUUAUUGGGCGUAAAGCGUCCGCAGGCGGCUUUUCAAGUCUGCUGUUAAAAAGUGGAGCUUAACUCCAUCAUGGCAGUGGAAACUGAAAGGCUUGAGUAUGGUAGGGGCAGAGGGAAUUCCCGGUGUAGCGGUGAAAUGCGUAGAUAUCGGGAAGAACACCAGUGGCGAAGGCGCUCUGCUGGGCCAUUACUGACGCUCAUGGACGAAAGCCAGGGGAGCGAAAGGGAUUAGAUACCCCUGUAGUCCUGGCCGUAAACGAUGAACACUAGGUGUCGGGGGAAUCGACCCCUUCGGUGUCGUAGCUAACGCGUUAAGUGUUCCGCCUGGGGAGUACGCACGCA